GAAAAAAAUUAUGGAAAUUUCAAGGAAUCAAGCAAGAUAAGGUGGUGAGUCCUCCGAUAAAGGCAAGGGAAUUGCACCCGAAGACCAGUAAUCUGAGUAUUUCAAAAAUCCCCACUUUAGACAUUCUUGCUGCAGUGGGCGGAUUCUGUGGACCAGCC